rnacentral:rRNA from 1 species
CCCAGACUCCUACGGGAGGCAGCAGUGGGAAUAUUGCACAAUGGGGGGAACCCUGAUGCAGCAACGCCGCGUGAGUGAGGAAGUAUUUCGGUAUGUAAAGCUCUAUCAGCAGGGAAUAGAAAAGAAGGUACCUGAAAAAGAAGCCCCGGCUAACUACGUGCCAGCAGCCGCGGUAAUACGUAGGGGGCAAGCGUUAUCCGGAUUUACUGGGUGUAAAGGGGGCGCAGACGGCAGCGCAAGCCAGGAGUGAAAGCCCGGGGCCCAACCCCGGGACUGCUCUUGGAACUGCGCGGCUGGAGUGCAGGAGGGGCAGGCGGAAUUCCUGGUGUAGCGGUGAAAUGCGUAGAUAUCAGGAGGAACACCGGUGGCGAAGGCGGCCUGCUGGACUGCGGCUGACGUUGAGGCCCGAAAGCGUGGGGAGCAAACAGGAUUAGAUACCCUAGUAAU